UACGUAGGGACCAAGCGUUGUUCGGAUUUACUGGGCGUAAAGGGCGCGUAGGCGGCGCGGUAAGUCACUUGUGAAAUCUCUGAGCUUAACUCAGAACGGCCAAGUGAUACUGCAGUGCUAGAGUGCAGAAGGGGCAAUCGGAAUUCUUGGUGUAGCGGUGAAAUGCGUAGAUAUCAAGAGGAACACCUGAGGUGAAGACGGGUUGCUGGGCUGACACUGACGCUGAGGCGCGAAAGCCAGGGGAGCAAACGGG
rnacentral:rRNA from 1 species